GACGAACGCUGGCGGCGUGCUUAACACAUGCAAGUCGAACGGAAAGGCCCUGCUUGCAGGGUACUCGAGUGGCGAACGGGUGAGUAACACUUGGGUGAUCUGCCCUGCACUUCGGGAUAAGCCUGGGAAACUGGGUCUAAUACCGGAUAGGAGCCAUUUUUAGUGUGAUGGUUGGAAAGUUUUUUCGGUGUAGGAUGAGCUCGCGGCCUAUCAGCUUGUUGGUGGGGUAAUGGCCUACCAAGGCGGCGACGGGUAGCCGGCCUGAGAGGGUGGAUGGCCACAUUGGGACUGAGAUACGGCCCAGACUCCUACGGGAGGCAGCAGUGGGGAAUAUUGCACAAUGGGCGCAAGCCUGAUGCAGCGACGCCGCGUGGGGGAUGACGGCCUUCGGGUUGUAAACUCCUUUCGCUAGGGACGAAGCUUUUGUGACGGUACCUAGAUAAGAAGCACCGGCUAACUACGUG
rnacentral:rRNA from 1 species